CCUACGGGAGGCAGCAGUGGGGAAUAUUGGGCAAUGGACGCAAGCCUGACCCAGCAACGCCGCGUGAAGGAAGAAGGCCCUCGGGUUGUAAACUUCUUUUGUCAGGGACGAAGCAAGUGACGGUACCUGACUCAUAAGCCACGGCUAACUACGUGCCAGCAGCCGCGUUAAUACGUAGGUGGCAAGCGUUCUCCGGAUUUACUGGGUGUAAAGGGCGUGUAGGCGGGGAAGCAAGUCAGAUGUGAAAUUCCAGGGCUCAACCCUGGAACUGCAUUUGAAACUGUUUGUCUUGAGUGAUGGAGAGGCAGGCGGAAUUCCGUGUGUAGCGGUGAAAUGCGUAGAUAUACGGAGGAACACCAGUGGCGAAGGCGGCCUGCUGGACAUUAACUGACGCUGAGGCGCGAAAGCGUGGGGAGCAAACAGGAUUAGAUACCCGUGUAGUC
rnacentral:rRNA from 1 species